rnacentral:lncRNA from 1 species
AUUGGAUGGAAACCUGGCCAAACAGCAGGCCUUAUCGCAUAUUCUUACAGCAUUGCAAAUCAUGUAUGCCAGAAAUUCUGCAAUUAUGUGAGCUUCAGGUUUUUGUGAUUUUUUUUUCAUUGAUCAGAUGUCUCCAAGAAUGUUGUAUUGUUGUCUUUAAAUGCUGUGUGUUGUAAGUCACGUGUUCUUUGAUGGUGAUUGAUAUCUUUGUGCAUGUUUUAAUAGGCAUUGAAAUAUGAAUUAGAAAACUAACUUGAACAUUUUCACUAUUCUUUUUGACCAGUAGACUCUAACCAUUAAUAUUUGGGGGAAGAAAAGAAUUAGGUGAUACUAAUUUAUAGUGAUGUCUAAGACGACUUAGCGUCCCCUUCACUCACUUUGAGAAGGCUGUUUUGCCAAUGCAGCAUUUUGCAGUAUUUUUCUGCUGCUUUCCCACAGCCUAGAUAAGUUGCCCAUCUGCUAAUGUAUCACACAUGUGGACCUGACAGGUGUCCUUACAUA